GUGCUUGAACUUGGGUCCGUAUGGGCUUACUUUCAAGUCGCUCCUCGGAGCUAUGGACAUAAACGCGCACGUAAUAAGCGGAUCGGACCCGGGGGCGGUACCCGGCGGCUCCACCAAAGCUCCCUCGUUGGGGGAUCAUGGGGCCGAAACAGGAUCGACGAACGUCUAAAGGUGUUAGCUUUGUCUCGGCUGUCUGCCACCGUUACCGGCGAAAAUAGUACAAUUGCCAACGACAAUCGUGCUCCGGUCGCCGUUGCUGCGUAAGCAGUAACAAGACCGAAAUCUAAGUCCUUGCGCCUAGCCGCGUAAGGCGGGGUCCGCAGGCACCUGGCAACAGAAGCCUGCAUU
rnacentral:tmRNA from 1 species